GAUGAACGCUGGCGGCGUGCCUAAUACAUGCAAGUCGAGCGAACGGACGAGAAGCUUGCUUCUCUGAUGUUAGCGGCGGACGGGUGAGUAACACGUGGAUAACCUACCUAUAAGACUGGGAUAACUUCGGGAAACCGGAGCUAAUACCGGAUAAUAUUUUGAACCGCAUGGUUCAAAAGUGAAAGACGGUCUUGCUGUCACUUAUAGAUGGAUCCGCGCUGCAUUAGCUAGUUGGUAAGGUAACGGCUUACCAAGGCAACGAUGCAUAGCCGACCUGAGAGGGUGAUCGGCCAAAACUGAACUGAGACACGGUCCAGACUCCUACGGGAGGCAGCAGUAGGGAAUCUUCCGGAAUGGGCGAAAGCCUGACGGAGCAACGCCGCGUGAGUGAUGAAGGUCCUCGGAUCGUAAAACUCUGUUAUUAGGGAAGAACAAAUGUGUAAGUAACUGUGCACAUCUUGACGGUACCUAAUCAGAAAGCCACGGCUAACUACGUG
rnacentral:rRNA from 1 species